CGACCGGCGCACGGGUGAGUAACACGUAUCCAACCUGCCGUCUACUCUUGGACAGCCUUCUGAAAGGAAGAUUAAUACAAGAUGGCAUCAUGAGUCCGCAUGUUCACAUGAUUAAAGGUAUUCCGGUAGACGAUGGGAUGCGUUCCAUUAGAUAGUAGGCGGGGUAACGGCCCACCUAGUCUUCGAUGGGUAGGGGUUCUGAGAGGAAGGUCCCCCACAUUGGAACUGAGACACGGUCCAAACUCCUACGGGAGGCAGCAUG
rnacentral:rRNA from 1 species